AACACGGACCAAGGAGUCUAGGCAAGUGCGCCGAGUCAUAAGGGUUCACUAAACCUUAGAUGGCGUAACGAAAGUAAUGUAAAAAUAUCGGUUUUGGGAGCAAUUCCAUAACCUCGUUGGACCGAUCCCCUCGGAAAUGCCUCGUUUUUCACCCUUCGCGGGGUGGCGAGGCCGCUACCAAUGUAUGAGGGGCGCAGGUCCGGAGGCCCGCCAUAUUAUCCUCUCUCUCCGUUCUUAAAUCCGACCUCCCUCCUUCGCGGGGAUCAGUGGGCCGGGCGGGGAAGAAGAUAGGCGGGUUCCAAGAGCGUUCGUGCUAGUACCCGAAAGAUGGUGAUCUAUGCCUGGCCAGGAUGAAGCCAGAGGAAACUCUGGUGGAGGUCCGUAGCGGUUCUGACGUGCAAAUCGAUCGUCCGGAGCUGGGGUAUAG
rnacentral:rRNA from 1 species